CUGCAACACAUGUAUUAAAUGUUCUCAGCUUCAAAAUCUGAAUGAAACUGAUCGUUAAAACGGUGUUUGGAGGAAGAACUUGACCCAAAAUAAUUAAAUGACAUGCAGUAAAUCAUAAGUGUUUGUUUCUGAAAACUGAAAAAAAAAAAAAAAAACUUAAAAUAAAACUAAUUUAUUAGCAAAGAUGCUAAAGGCCAAAACGGUUUAUCUGCUGUCUUCAGGUAAAUGAUCUGGAGUGUGUUUGCAUAUUGAUCAGAUGCUUCAGUGCUCUGAGAGUGUUUAUAGUGCUGUGAGUUUAACACUUCAUCACUGACACACACAACAAUCUUCAUCAACAUGACCUUCAUCAUCAUCUUCAUCUGGACUCUCACAGCGUUUGCUCAAGAGUGUAGAGGACAGAUCACCGUCACUCAGAGUCCCUCAACGACAGCAGCUCGACCAGAAGAAACAGUCAAAAUCAGCUGUAAAACCAGCACAGAUGUGUACAAUUUGUUAGAUGCUUUUGAUUGUUUAGCCUGGUACUUACAGAAACCUGGAGAAGCUCCUAAACUCCUGAUUUAUUACGCAAACACCCUCGAGUCAGGAACUCCAUCUAGAUUCAGUGGCAGUGGAUCUAAGAGUGAUUUCACUCUGACCAUCAGUGGAGUCCAGACUGAAGAUGCUGGACAUUAUUACUGUCAGAGUUUACACUGCAGAACAGAUUCUGAUGGUGAUUGUGUGGGUGAUCGUGUGUUCACACAGUGAUAAAGAGUCGUACAAAAACCUCCUUCAGUCAGAGUCACAGAGACUGAACUGAUCCUGCAGCUGCUCAGAGGAGGAUCUGAAACAACAUCGUCAGACAUGCAUCUGAAAUAAAAUCAUAUAAAUGAAUAUGUCGCUCUUAAUAAUCAUAGAGAUCAAAGCAUUAGUCAAGAGAAACAACUAGACAGAGAGUCCAUCAGAGUCUGUAUCAGACCCACAAACACUCAGACACAGUUGUGUUGGUCUUUGAUUAUUAUUUUUGUCUUUUUCUUCUCCCACACUUUGGAAUUGUGUGUUUUAUUAUUUCCUCAGAUUCAUAAUUUCUGUAUGGAGAGUAAUAAUGUGUUAAAACUGGACUAAUUGAAUCUGCACAGCUUUGAGAUUUUGUGCUCUUAUAGAUCAGAGACACGACUGAGAUCUGACUGAUUUUUGACAAUUACGCAUUACCUCACUCGUGCUUAGUACAUGUAAGUGUGAACUCGUGAAAUGACAAUUUAUUGUGUAAAAUUCACGAUUGUGUCUACAGAGCCUUCAGAUACAAGCACUGCCACAGCUCCAACUUGACGUGACCUCUGACCUCUGCCAAUAUGAGUGAUUCUGUACAGUUUUAACUGAACUUUAACUUUUGCUGAACUUCUCCACAAAACUAUGAGAAGGUGCAAACCGUUAUCUGAUGAUAACAUGAUCUGAUCAAUCUGUGAACUGAUGAAUAUGAACAAACCUCGUCUCUCUGUUAGUCAAACUGACUCAAUUCACAGAAUAAAGAGUGAAACAGUGAAA